rnacentral:SRP_RNA from 1 species
CGAUGGGGUCUCUGCAACAGGUUUCCCGCGAACCCCGCCAGGUUCGGAAGAAAGCAACGGUAGUGGGUUAAUUUGUGUGCCGGAGUCACCCUGUCGGGU